rnacentral:lncRNA from 1 species
GAUAAAACCACUUCCAUAAUUCCAUUAACCCAUUGGCUUCCUCAAUCGUCCCCAAAUGGCCAAACCCACGCUCCACUCUCCUUCCUCUUCGAUUUGUUAGACUGUCUCGAUCCAUAGAUGAUAGAAGCCAUUUAGCCAGCGGUCCAUAGCCAAUACCCAGCAGUAUGUAUUUUCGAUUUUGUUAUUUUUAAUUUUAGUUUCCGCUUCUUGCAUUUUGUAACUUGGACCGUUUAUAUAUAUAUUUCUAGUACUUAAUAUCAUAUCAUAUGGAUUAUUGAGAUUUGAGAAUGGGUUGUAUUUGAGAAAUAGACUAAAAAUUUUCUUGGAGUUUGUAUGGAUGAUUAUUUUUGUUCAC